UAUUGAUACAAUCAACAAUGCAAACAUUGUACCUGUCAACGUUGGUUUUGCUGGUGCUGAUGCAACGUGUAUCAGCUGGGAGUUUUCCCGAACCCGUGCCAGUAAUCGAGCCAUCCGAUGUCACUUGUAAGUGCCAUCCUAAAUGCGGGAACGAAGACACCUGUACCAUUUUCGGCGCAUGCGUCAUGAGUGGCACAGGGGGAUCCCCGCGUAACAUGUACCUGGGAUGUAUGAAUGAGCGUCAGGUCGAAUACCUUUGCAACGAGCCUAUGCUAGCGGAUAUCAGUUGUUGUUCUCAUGACAUGUGCAAUGAUGUAUGGAUUCCCGAUGAGUGGCCUCUCAACUCCUAAUUACAGUUGCUUGGAAAACGAGAUUGCUGCCAUUCUGACAACGCCGCCGACAUUGAUACAAAUAAUGUUAUCGCACAACACGUGUUGCAUGCCUUUUCGACUGAACAUAUCAUUUGCAUAACGGAACUGUAACGUAGUAGUAGUCUGAAUAAAUAUUAGAUUAACACGCAC